UACAGAGGGUGCAAGCGUUGUUCGGAAUCAUUGGGCGUAAAGGGCGUGUAGGCGGUUUGUUAAGUCAUGUGUGAAAUCCCUCGGCUCAACCGGGGAACGACGCAUGAAACUGGCAAGCUAGAGUACCAAAGAGGGGGGUGGAAUUCCCGGUGUAGCGGUGAAAUACGUAGAGAUUGGGAAGAACACCAGUGGCGAAGGCGGCUAUCUGGACGGUUUCUGACGCUAAGACGCGAAAGCGUGGGGAGCAAACAGG
rnacentral:rRNA from 1 species